UUGGUUUGUUUCAGGUGGUUGGCUGUUUGCUUGUGCUACAACUUCCACCCGGCUUACCUUUUCAGUUUUGCGUCAAGGCUUUUGUCACCUUAGCGCAUUGUGGGUUUCCUGUGUUGCAUACCUAAKGGAAGGAAUUAAUUUGGCUUAUCAAUGUCCUCUUUCGUCUUGUGUUGCAUUUGUGGCAUGGGAUGAACCUUGAAGCAGCUUCUUUGAUCCACAUGGUUGACAAAAUUGUUGAUUUUGUGGCUCAUUGGGUAUUGCUUGGUUCCGUGAAUACAGAAUCUGAUUUGGGCAUGUGGUCUUUUUACGGGAUCACUGUUUUGCCCUUGUUAAAGAGUUAUGCUUCUCUAAGAUGACAACCUAUCAUGCGUUGGCUUUGCUCCGGUGUGMUGGGUUAUGUCAAAGAGGAMUGCUACCUGGUUGAUCCUGCCAGUAGUCAUAUGCUUGUCUCA
rnacentral:misc_RNA from 1 species